UACGGAGGGUGCAAGCGUUAUCCGGAUUCACUGGGUUUAAAGGGUGCGUAGGUGGGCUGGUAAGUCCGUGGUGAAAUCUCCAAGCUUAACUUGGAAACUGCCGUGGAUACUAUUAGUCUUGAAUCUCGUGGAGGUAAGCGGAAUAUGUCAUGUAGCGGUGAAAUGCUUAGAUAUGACAUAGAACACCGAUAGCGAAGGCAGCUUGCUACACGAGUAUUGACACUGAGGCACGAAAGCGUUGGGGAGCAAACAGG
rnacentral:rRNA from 1 species